UACGAAGGGGGGCUAGCGUUGCUCGGAAUUACUGGGCGUAAAGCGCACGUAGGCGGCUUUCUAAGUCGGGGGGUGAAAUCCUGGAGCUCAACUCCAGAACUGCCUUCGAUACUGGAAAGCUCGAGUCCGGGAGAGGUGAGUGGAACUGCGAGUGUAGAGGUGAAAUUCGUAGAUAUUCGCAAGAACACCAGUGGCGAAGGCGGCUCACUGGCCCGGUACUGACGCUGAUGCGCGAAAGCUAGGGGAGCAAACAGG
rnacentral:rRNA from 1 species